CCAAUAUAAAGGAUCAAUACUGGAGGAGGCAGGUGGCAGCGGGAGGAGGCAGGGAACUGGUCUGUCUGCCCAAUAUAAAGGAUAAAAACUGGAGGAGGCAGGUGGGAGGAGGGAGGGAACUGGUCUGUCUGCCCAAUAUAAAGGAUCAAAACUGGAGGAGGCAGGUGGGAGGAGGUGGGGAACUGGUCUGUCUGCCCAAUAUAAAGGAUAAAAACUGGAGGAGGCAGGUGGGAGGAGGGAGGGAACUGGUCUGUCUGCCCAAUAUAAAGGAUAAAAACUGGAGGAGGCAGGUGGGAGGAGGUAGGGAACUGGUCUGUCUGCCCAAUAUAAAGGAUAAAAACUGGAGGAGGCAGGUGGGAGGAGGUGGGGAACUGGUCUGUCUGCCCAAUAUAAAGGAUAAAAACUGGAGGAGGCAGGUGGGAGGAGGGAGGGAACUGGUCUGUCUGCCCAAUAUAAAGGAUAAAAACUGGAGGAGGCAGGUGGGAGGAGGUAGGGAACUGGUCUGUCUGCCCAAUAUAAAGGAUAAAAACUGGAGGAGGCAGGUGGGAGGAGGUGGGGAACUGGUCUGUCU